rnacentral:rRNA from 1 species
UACGUAGGUGGCAAGCGUUGUUCGGAAUUAUUGGGCGUAAAGAGCUCGUAGGCGGUGUGUCACGUCGGCCGUGAAAACCUGCAGCUUAACUGUGGGCGUGCGGUCGAUACGGGCAUCACUGGAGUUCGGCAGGGGAGACUGGAAUUCCUGGUGUAGCGGUGAAAUGCGCAGAUAUCAGGAGGAACACCGAUGGCGAAGGCAGGUCUCUGGGCAUUAACUGACGCUGAGGAGCGAAAGCAUGGGGAGCGAACAGG